rnacentral:rRNA from 1 species
UGACUNGAGUGCAGAAGGGGAGAGUGGAAUUCCAUGUGUAGCGGUGAAAUGCGUAGAUAUAUGGAGGAGCACCAGUGGCGAAAGCGGCUCUCUGGUCUGUCACUGACGCUGAGGCUCGAAAGCGUGGGUAGCGAACAGGAUUAGAUACCCUGGUAGUNCACGCCGUAAACGAUGAGUGCUAGGUGUUAGGCCCUUUCCGGGGCUUAGUGCCGGAGCUAACGCAAUAAGCACUCCGCCUGGGGAGUACGACCGCAAGGUUGAAACUCAAAGGAAUUGACGGGGGCCCGCACAAGCGGUGGAGCAUGUGGUUUAAUUCGAAGCAACGCGAAGAACCUUACCAGGUCUUGACAUCCCGAUGCUAUUCUUAGAGAUAGGAAGUUACUUCGGUUCAUCGGAGACAGGUGGUGCAUGGUUGUCGUCAGCUCGUGUCGUGAGAUGUUGGGUUAAGUCCCGCAACGAGCGCAACCCUUAUUGUUAGUUGCCAUCAUUAAGUUGGGCACUCUAGCGAGACUGCCGGUAAUAAACCGGAGGAAGGUGGGGAUGACGUCAAAUCAUCAUGCCCCUUAUGACCUGGGCUACACACGUGCUACAAUGGUCGGUACAACGAGUUGCGAGCCGGUGACGGCAAGCUAAUCUCUGAAAGCCGAUCUCAGUUCGGAUUGGAGGCUGCAACUCGCCUCCAUGAAGUCGGAAUCGCUAGUAAUCGCGGAUCAGCACGCCGCGGUGAAUACGUUCCCGGGCCUUGUACACAC